rnacentral:rRNA from 1 species
GGCAAACGGGUGCGGAACACGUACGCAACCUACCCAUAACUGGGGGAUAGCCCGGGGAAACCCGGAUUAAUACCUCGUAACCUUAUGAAGUGGCAUCGCUUUAUAAGUAUAGCUCCGGCGGUUAUGGAUGGGCGUGCGCCUGAUUAGGUAGUUGGCGGGGUAACGGCCCACCAAGCCUGCGAUCAGUAACUGGUGUGAGAGCACGACCAGUCACACGGGCACUGAGACACGGGCCCGACUCCUACGGGAGGCAGCAGUAAGGAAUAUUGGUCAAUGGACGCAAGUCUGAACCAGCCAUGCCGCGUGAAGGAUGAAGGUCCUCUGGAUUGUAAACUUCUUUUAUAGGGGAAGAAAUCUGAAUAUUCCUAUUCAGUUGACGGUACCCUAGGAAUAAGCACCGGCUAACUCCGUGCCAGCAGCCGCGGUAAUACGGAGGGUGCAAGCGUUAUCCGGAUUCACUGGGUUUAAAGGGUGCGUAGGAGGGCAGGGAAGUCAGUGGUGAAAUCUCCGGGCUUAACUCGGAAACUGCCGUUGAUACUCUCUGUCUUGAAUCCCGUGGAGGUGAGCGGAAUAUGUCAUGUAGCGGUGAAAUGCUUAGAUAUGACAUAGAACACCAAUUGCGAAGGCAGCUCGCUACACGAAGAUUGACUCUGAGGCACGAAAGCGUGGGGAUCAAACAGGAUUAGAUACCCUGGUAGUCC